rnacentral:rRNA from 1 species
GACGAACGCUGGCGGCGUGCCUAACACAUGCAAGUCGAGCGAGUAGAUCCCUUCGGGGUGAAGCUAGCGGCGGACGGGUGAGUAACACGUGGGCAACCUGCCUCAUAGAGGGGAAUAGCCUUCCGAAAGGAAGAUUAAUACCGCAUAAGAUUGUAGCUUUGCAUGAAGUAGCAAUUAAAGGAGCAAUCCGCUAUGAGAUGGGCCCGCGGCGCAUUAGCUAGUUGGUGAGGUAACGGCUCACCAAGGCGACGAUGCGUAGCCGACCUGAGAGGGUGAUCGGCCACAUUGGGACUGAGACACGGCCCAGACUCCUACGGGAGGCAGCAGUGGGGAAUAUUGCACAAUGGGGGAAACCCUGAUGCAGCAACGCCGCGUGAGUGAUGACGGCCUUCGGGUUGUAAAGCUCUGUCUUCGGGGACGAUAAUGACGGUACCCGAGGAGGAAGCCACGGCUAACUACGUGCCAGCAGCCGCCGCCG